rnacentral:rRNA from 1 species
AGCAGCCGCGGUAAUUCCAGCUCCAAUAGCGUAUAUUAAAGUUGUUGCAGUUAAAAAGCUCGUAGUUGAAUUUCGGGGUUAGUAGGUUGGUCAUGCCACUGGUAUGUACUGAUCUUACUGAUUCCUCCUUCCUGAUGAACCGUAAUGCCAUUAAUUUGGUGUUGCGGGGAGACUGGACUGUUACUUUGAAAAAAUUAGAGUGUUUAAAGCAGGCUAACGCUUGAAUACAUUAGCAUGGAAUAAUGAAAUAGGACGUUCGAUCCUAUUUUGUUGGUUUCUAGGAUUGACGUAAUGAUUAAUAGGGAUAGUUGGGGGCAUUAGUAUUCAAUUGUCAGAGGUGAAAUUCUUGGAUUUAUUGAAGACUAACUACUGCGAAAGCAUUUGCCAAGGAUGUUUUCAUUAAUCAAGAACGAAAGUUAGGGGAUCGAAGACGAUCAGAUACCGUCGUAGUCUUAACCAUAAACUAUGCCGACUAGGGAUCGGAUGAUGUUAAUUUUUUAAUGACUCAUUCGGCGCCUUACG